rnacentral:rRNA from 1 species
UACGUAGGGGGCAAGCGUUGUCCGGAAUCAUUGGGCGUAAAGCGCGUGUAGGCGGUUUGGUAAGUCCGCUGUGAAAGUCCAGGGCUCAACCCUGGAAAGCCGGUGGAUACUGUCAGACUAGAGUGCGGGAGAGGCGAGUGGAAUUCCUGGUGUAGCGGUGAAAUGCGCAGAUAUCAGGAGGAACACCAGUGGCGAAGGCGCCGCUCUGGGCCGUAACUGACGCUGAGAAGCGAAAGCGUGGGGAGUAAACAGG